rnacentral:rRNA from 1 species
GAAUCAGUCGAACAGAUGACUGCAACUGACG